rnacentral:rRNA from 1 species
AACGAACGCUGGCGGCAUGCCUAACACAUGCAAGUCGAACGAGACCUUCGGGUCUAGUGGCGCACGGGUGCGUAACGCGUGGGAACCUGCCCUUAGGUUCGGAAUAACUCCCCGAAAGGGGUGCUAAUACCGGAUAAUGUCUUCGGACCAAAGAUUUAUCGCCUUUGGAUGGGCCCGCGUUGGAUUAGCUAGUUGGUAGGGUAAAAGCCUACCAAGGCGACGAUCCAUAGCUGGUCUGAGAGGAUGAUCAGCCACACUGGGACUGAGACACGGCCCAGACUCCUACGGGAGGCAGCAGUGGGGAAUAUAGGACAAUGGGCGAAAGCCUGAUCCAGCAAUGCCGCGUGAGUGAUGAAGGCCUUAGGGUUGUAAAGCUCUUUUACCCGGGAUGAUAAUGACAGUACCGGGAGAAUAAGCUCCGGCUAACUCCGU